CAUCACUACGCUAGAUGCAUAUCAAUAAGCGGAGGAAAAGAAACUAACAAGGAUUCCCCUAGUAACGGCGAGUGAAGCGGGAAGAGCUCAAAUUUGAAAUCUUAAAGGGUUUCCCUUUACGAAUUGUAGUUUAAAGAAGUGUUUUCUGUUGGAGUUUCGGUAAAAGUUCUUUGGAAUAGGACAUCAUAGAGGGUGAGAAUCCCGUAUUUGACCGUUACUUUCCAGCUGUGUGAUACACUUUCAAAGAGUCGGAUUGUUUGGGAAUGCAGUCCAAAAUGGGUGGUAAAUUUCAUCUAAAGCUAAAUAUUGGCGAGAGACCGAUAGCGAACAAGUACCGUGAGGGAAAGAUGAAAAGAACUUUGAAAAGAGAGUUAAACAGUACGUGAAAUUGUCAAAAGGGAAGCGUUUGACACCAGUGUUGUUUAGUUGAAAAUCAAUUCAAUAAUUUUUGAUUUUGAGUAGUAUUGACUUCAUCAGCUUGCUGCUUUCUUUUCGGAAUUAUUGAAUGCACUUUUCAGUUAACAAGUCAACAUCAAUUUCUUUUGUUGUAAAAGGGUAAGAGGAAGGUGGCUUACGCUUCGGCGUAAGUGUUUAUAGCCUUUUACCUCUGCAAUCGGAGAGAUUGAGGACAGCAGCGUAGACUCCUUCGGGGUUAGAUACACUUGUGCUAAGCUAUAGCCUUGUAUAGACAACUUGUUGACUAUGCUCAGUCAUGUAGCUUACUCGCUUGUGCUAUUUUACCUACGCUUAGGAUGUUGACACACGCGCGUGCUCG
rnacentral:rRNA from 1 species